rnacentral:tRNA from 1 species
GCCUUCGUAGUGUAGUGGUCAGCACGCUCGACACGUAAAUCAGAGGUUCGUGGUUCGAUUCUGGGCGGAGGCG